rnacentral:piRNA from 1 species
UGCAAUGAGGGGCUUGCUAGUAUUUGA